ACUGACAACAAGAGAGGAGGAAG
rnacentral:piRNA from 1 species